rnacentral:rRNA from 1 species
UACGUAGGGUGCGAGCGUUGUCCGGAAUUACUGGGCGUAAAGAGCUCGUAGGUGGUUUGUCGCGUUGUUCGUGAAAUCUCACGGCUUAACUGUGAGCGUGCGGGCGAUACGGGCAGACUAGAGUACUGCAGGGGAGACUGGAAUUCCUGGUGUAGCGGUGGAAUGCGCAGAUAUCAGGAGGAACACCGAUGGCGAAGGCGGUUCUCUGGGCCUGUACUGACGCUGAGGAGCGAAAGCGUGGGGAGCGAACAGG